CCUACGUGAGGCAGCAGUGGGGAAUAUUUCACAAUGGGGGAAACCCUGAUGCAGCGACGCCGCGUGAGCGAAGAAGUUUUUCGGUAUGUAAAGCUCUAUCAGCAGGGAAGAAAAUGACGGUUUCUAAGCAAGAAGCACCUGCCAAAUCCGUGACAGCAGCCGCCGUAAUACGCAGGGAGCACGCGUUAACCGGAUUUACUGGGCGUAACGGUAGCGUAGGCGGCAUGGCAAGUCAGAUGUGAAGUCCUGGGGCUCAACCCCGGGACUGCAUUGGAAACUGGACGGCUGGAGUGCCUGAGAGGCAGGUGGAAUUCCGGGUGUAGGGGUGAAAUGCGUAGAUAUUAGGAGGAACACCAGUGGCGAAGGCGACCAGCUGG
rnacentral:rRNA from 1 species